rnacentral:tRNA from 1 species
GCAGGAUUAGUGUUAGUGGUUAGCACGACGGUCUUCCCCUUUAAUAGUUUAAUGAAAAACCAUUGAUGUAAGUUCAAGUCUUACUUAAAGGACCAAAACCGUAAGGGCGAGUUCGAAUCUCGUAUCUUGCUCCA